GAUGAACGCUGGCGGCGUGCCUAAUACAUGCAAGUCGAGCGAACAGACGAGGAGCUUGCUCCUUUGACGUUAGCGGCGGACGGGUGAGUAACACGUAGGUAACCUACCUAUAAGACUGGGAUAACUUCGGGAAACCGGAGCUAAUACCGGAUAAUAUUUCGAACCGCAUGGUUCGAUAGUGAAAGAUGGCUUUGCUAUCACUUAUAGAUGGACCUGCGCCGUAUUAGCUAGUUGGUAAGGUAACGGCUUACCAAGGCAACGAUACGUAGCCGACCUGAGAGGGUGAUCGGCCACACUGGAACUGAGACACGGUCCAGACUCCUACGGGAGGCAGCAGUAGGGAAUCUUCCGCAAUGGGCGAAAGCCUGACGGAGCAACGCCGCGUGAGUGAUGAAGGUCUUCGGAUCGUAAAACUCUGUUAUUAGGGAAGAACAAACGUGUAAGUAACUGUGCACGUCUUGACGGUACCUAAUCAGAAAGCCACGGCUACUACGUG
rnacentral:rRNA from 1 species